UGAGAAGGAUCUUUGCAUUUUGGAGGAUCUGACUGUUUAUAUGGGAAAGAAAUGAAGCUCUGAAACAUGAGAGAACAGUUUUAGGAGAGAGAAGAGCUUCAGCAAGUGAACUCUGGUGUUGCUGAACUGUAAGACCGUUUUGCCAAAUGAUCUGAGAUGUUUUGAAAUGUAAUUUCUGUUUCAAAAAAUGAGCCAAACCAGUGGAGAAAAACUGUAAGGAAAUGUUGUUGAACAGUUACUGAGACUGAAAGGCUGAAGCAGUGAACAUGAAGCCAGCUUUGAAUAGGCCACGCCCCUUGGACCAGUCAGCUGUCUCUGUGGUGCAUUGGGCUGUUACAGUAACUGAGAGGUUGGUGGUUCAAGUCCACCCAGGGACGGCAGAGGUCCUCUUUAAUUGAAACAAUCAGUUUUUAACAAUCAUUUACCUUUCAUGAAGAUGAAGUUUACCAACAACAAAGAGAGCUGCUCUGCUGUGAAACCCCUUCAGUUAUCAAAUGUGUGUGUGUGUGUGUGUGUGUGUGUGUGUGUGUGUGUGUGUGUGUGUGUGUGUGUGUGUGUGUGUGUGUGGGCCUUUAAAUCAGGCAUUUAUAUUGUUGUGAUUUUCACCAUUAUUUAUUUAUUUUAGUUUAUUGUGUACUUUCACUUCUUCACCUCAUCUGACUUAUUUUACUUUAACAUUUUAUCAUAUUUUCCAUGUUAAAGUUUUUAGUUGUUUAACUCCAGUGUUUCCCGAGGGGGGGUCCUUCACACGAGGAGUUUGUUCUGGUUAACUGUGUGUGAGUCCUCCCAUCCUGGCUGGCUGGGGGCUCCACACCUUGGUGUGGGGGGCCAUGUUCAAUAUUUCAGACAUAAACUCUUCAUAUGUGAGGUCGAAAUUCAUCGAAACAAAACCGCACCUGCAAUCGGGGUCGUGCGCACACACACACACACACACACACACACACACACACACACACACACACACACACACACACACACACACACACACACACACACACACACACAUAAAAACAGACACACUCCCAGUUUGUUUCAUACAAAAAGGAGACAUGGCACUGAGCAUCAUGGGAAACACCACCAUGACACGGGGUGCUGGGAUGGUUUAAAAAUGUCUGUUUUACCAUCCAAAUACAACACAAGUGGAAAAGAUGGAGAACUUUGGUCCCACUUCUAGAUCUUCUCAUGAGGAGAACAUGAGCAGCAGAUCCUGUAGAACCACGGUUCACUGGUAAAGUGUCUGUAAAGAACAAUCUGGAGCCAGCUGGAUGUUAGAUAGAGAGAUAAACCCUCCACCUGUUUAUUUUCCCUUCUUUCAGCUGACUUUACAUUAUUCCACAUGUUACACAGCUGCUGACAAGUAGAAUAACUUAUUUCGGAGCUUAUAUUGGCCAAAACACAUUAAACACAUGAAUGACUUUAGUCCUGCUGACUGUGUUUUGUAACAAUCUUGAAUGUAAUUUGGAAACUGAUCGCUGUCUGAUCAGUUUUAUGUUGAAAACAUGUCAUUCCUCAUGUGCUGCGGGAGUGAGGCGCUCCUCCACCAGGCUCCUCCACCAUUUUUCACAGAAUUCAAACAAUAAUAACGUUCAAUCUUCCUUGUGAAAAGUGAUCCCAGAGUCCUGCUUUCAGUAGUUCCCUGAUCAGCCCAACAAUAUGCUGCCAGUGCCGUGGCACCUUGACUUCUCUGGAGCUUCACCACAGACAUGAGGACCGUUCCAAGAUGGCCGCCGUAUUCCCUGCACUGCAGCAGCCGAUGUGGCGUCUCCUGUUUAUGUCUGUGGUUACAACUGACCGUGUUACAACUAUCCCCAGUCUCCCUACUGGAAUGAAAAGAAUGUUCACGGCUCUACGUCACUGAAAAACGGCUCUCCAGAGAGUCAGCUUGAGAAAACCAACACUGACCAGAGCUGAGUUUAACUCUACACACAUGUAUGUUUGAGUCCACUCUUUAGUUAAUUCAACACUGGUGAAUUUGCAGAGCAGGAAGUUACCAUGUGUAAAUUUCAGCAACUAAUUUAAAAUCAAACUGAACUGAUUGUUUGGACUGAUGCAUGUUUUCCGUUUUGUCCUGAAAACUGCCUUGAAAUGCAAAACAACAGAAAUUUGAACUUGCAAUCCAAAGUUUGACAAUUCACGAUUAACUGUAGAAAUUCUGUGAUUAAUCACAAUCAAAAUCUUUUGACAGCCCUGUUUUCUACAUUUCAAUAAGAAAGACUUUGGUGUUUUCUUCCCUCUCUGUCUCGCUUUCUUUAAACUGCAACCAUGAUUUUAUUCUGAAGAGCUGAUCUGUGUCUCACUUCCUCUGAUGGGAGGGUCACAUUAAAAAAAAGUAUGAAAAUAAAUCAAGUAGGAGCAGCAGCUCAGUUCAACCAGAGAAGCAGGAAGUGAAGCGCUGAGUGAGUUCAGACUCUGACUGACAGCCUGAGAGGAGAAGCAGACACACAGCAGAGUCUUCAGGAUCCAGCAGCUUGUCUCUGAAGAGUGACCGGUCCAGACAUAGUCCAAUAAACUUCAGUGCUGAACCUGGACCUUCAGACACAAAUUUUCUCAAAAGUAAAGAGGAAAUCUCGUCUCGUCUCAUGAUCUUGACACAAAUAUCGUCUCGUCUCGUUUCGUGAGCCGAGUGUCUCGUCACAUCGCUGCUAAUGACCAAAUUCCAGUCUCAAAAAGAGGAGAAAUCAUUUAAACAGACUCAGAGCAGAGUCUUCAGGAUCCAGCAGGUUGUCUCUGAAGAGUGACCGGUCCAACCCUUAUCGACGACGAGACUUCAGUGCUGAACCUGGACCUUCAGACUCAAAAAAGAGGAAGAGGACUGAUGUGUGUGAGGAGCAGCCAGAAAGAUCCAGAAGCGCCGCU